rnacentral:lncRNA from 12 species
GGAGGGUGGGCGAGAGGCAAGGUUUUCAGCUCUGGGGCGUUAGUCUUGGCAGCAGAGCUCUCCCGCUGGGGACGAGAGGCGAGGAGGCGCGUGGAGGUGAAUUGUACUUCUGGCCUGCUGCGGAUGAAUGUGGCCCUGUGACCGGUCAAUUGUAACCAGUCAGUUCUGACAGGAAGAGAGCCUG